UGGAUGAACAAACAGGAUAGAUGGUAUUCUGCGGAUUCAUUAGCAAGCUCUUGCAACACACUGUAUUUAAUGCUCCAAAUCGGUAUCCGUACUGGAAUUGCUGUUAGAUCCCCCAAACAAAAAAGCAUGUUUAUAGUCUCAUGAUAGUCUGAAAACACCCAGGCUAUCCAAGAAUGUAUUACCUCUAAUACCAUCUCUUUCACAUGCUUCAUUCCACUCUUACGUAUGCUCUUUAUUUUGUUGCUGUCAUAUAUUGAGAUCUGUAUAUGGCUUAAAAACUGGUUUAUUUUUUCCUAAGAUGAUACAAUUUCAUUUUAAUUUCUCUGUGCAGGUUCCAUUUAAUAGUCCCACUUGGAAGCAGAUUGACAAAGCAGGAUUGAGCGUUGACCGAUUACAUCUGGAAUUUUGUCCACCCACAGAUAUGUAUGUAAUGCAAAGGAUAUGUAUGUAAUUACAGAAAAGUAUGUAAUGCAAAGGAAUCCCCCCACAAGAAGAAAAGUGUCAUUUGUAUGUUUUCCUGGUUCUCUGAAGACUUCAGCCUUGUAGUGAAUGGAACCUAAAGAAAGCUUGACAGAAAAUGAAAUGUGUAUCCUGUCUACUUAAUGAAACCUCCAACCCAAACCAAAGGAACAGAAAACUUUAUAUGUGCUCUUAAAUAAAAUAGGUAUUAGUGGAUUGCCUUACUCA
rnacentral:lncRNA from 1 species